UGCAGAACAGGGGAGGUCUUGUUCCCCGGCUAGGGCUCCGCCUUCGGGGACCUAGGUGAGGACAGGCAUUUCCUGCCCAAAUGUUGCAUUUCCCAAGACCACCCUGGCCCACCACGCCCCCAUCCUGGGCCUAUAAAAACCCAAGACCCUGGCGGGAAGACACAGAAGUGGUUGGGCGUCGUGAGGAACGCAUCGGCGGCAGAACACUCAAGCGGCUGGUUGUUGAGAGCACGCCAGCUGAAGAGCACCCCUGCACACUGGCAGGCCAUCCACAGGUGUCAGAAACUCAGCUCAGCUGGAAGAAACUUGAUGUACCAGGUAUCAGAGUAGCAAGUAAAGCCACAAGCCAAAAAUGAAAGAGAAUCUUUUAAGUGCUUAUCGUGAUGGUGUAAGUAAUUGUCCAAAAGAAACGCCGAUUCCUUCUGUUCCAUUUUUACCUGUGGAUUGUGGAUUGAAAUAACCAUUGGACCAUGAGGAGAGACUCUGAAGAGAGGCUAGUGAUAUGUGAUAUAAUACUCUUUUGUGACGUUGGACCAUGGCAGUGAGCCGCAGCUCCCAGUCAGCAAUGCGAUCCCAAGAAUAAACAACCGAUUCUUGACAGUGUCCUAUGUUGCCAGUCGAUUUUGUUCAACAGUAGGUACAUAUCACCUGUAGACCCAAAACAACUUCAAAUAGCCAUUUCCUUCACUGCUGUGAGCAGAUGUAGACAGAUAAGGAAAUGAAGGCACAAAGAAGUCAAGUGCUUUUCCAAUGCCAGAGAAGUAAGAGGUAAGUUAUUAUACUCUCUGCCCUUCUGGAAUUGUUGGAUAGGAUUCCUUGGCUCCACAGAGCUGGU
rnacentral:lncRNA from 10 species